rnacentral:piRNA from 1 species
UCUGGAGAGGAGAGAGACUGGAC